AACCUUCAGAUUCCUUACCUUCAGAUCUAAAUAUUGUCUGAGAGGCUAAAAAAGGAGGAAAAGUAAAACAGAAGAGGACGUGGAGCCUUUAGUGACAUACGAGUUUAUGUCGAACAUAU
rnacentral:snoRNA from 1 species